AGUGAACGCUGGCGGUAGGCCUAACACAUGCAAGUCGAACGGCAGCACAGUAAGAGCUUGCUCUUACGGGUGGCGAGUGGCGGACGGGUGAGGAAUACAUCGGAAUCUACUUUUUCGUGGGGGAUAACGUAGGGAAACUUACGCUAAUACCGCAUACGACCUACGGGUGAAAGCAGGGGAUCUUCGGACCUUGCGCGAUUGAAUGAGCCGAUGCCGGAUUAGCUAGUUGGCGGGGUAAAGGCCCACCAAGGCGACGAUCCGUAGCUGGUCUGAGAGGAUGAUCAGCCACACUGGAACUGAGACACGGUCCAGACUCCUACGGGAGGCAGCAGUGGGGAAUAUUGGACAAUGGGCGCAAGCCUGAUCCAGCCAUACCGCGUGGGUGAAGAAGGCCUUCGGGUUGUAAAGCCCUUUUGUUGGGAAAGAAAAGCAGCAGGUUAAUACCCCGCUGUUCGGACGGUACCCAAAGAAUAAGCACCGGCGAACUUCGU
rnacentral:rRNA from 1 species